UGCUUGAUCGAGCCAGGUCCAGAACACCACCAUCUGCCCCAAGCCAGUCUAGAAAGACCUCUGGGCGUGAGCGGGCUCCUUCCCCUGCUUCAAGAAUGGUCCAGGCUUCUUCGCAAUCUCUUCUCCCUCCUGCACAGGAUCAGCCUCAGUCCCCUGUGCCAUCUGCUUUUUCAGACCAAUCUCGCUCAGUUGCCCAGACCACUCCUGUAGCAGGGUCUCAGUCUCUUUCAUCCGGGACUGUAGUGAAGUCCACAUCCUCUGCUAGUGACCACAAUGGUAUGCUUUCUGGACCUGCCCCUGGGAUAUCCCAUGCUGAAGGUGGGGAGCCACCUGCCUCUACUGGGGCCCAGCAGCCUUCUACAUUGGCUGCUCUGCAACCAGCUAAGGAACGUCGGAGCUCUUCCUCCUCUUCAUCAUCAUCUAGUUCCUCCUCCUCUUCAUCAUCUUCAUCGUCAUCCUCCUUUUCCUCUGGCUCCAGUUCUAGUGAUUCAGAGGGUUCCAGCCUUCCAGCUCAACCUGAGGUGGCACUGAAAAGGGUUCCCAGCCCCACCCCAGUCCCAAAGGAGGCUAUUAGAGAGGGACGUCCUCAGGAACCAACCCUAGCCAAAAGGAAGAGGCGCUCUAGCAGCUCCAGUUCCAGCUCCUCCUCCUCUUCUUCUUCCUCCUCCUCCUCUUCAUCUUCUUCUUCCUCCUCUUCCUCCUCCCCCUCCCCUGCUAAGCCUGGCCCUCAGGCAUUACCCAAACCUGCAAGCCCCAAGAAGCCACCCCCUGGCGAGAGGAGGUCUUGAAGUCCUGGAAGCCAAUAGACUCCCUUCGGGAUUCCGAUCCCUCAGUUACUCACCCGAUAGCCCUUGCCCCAACCUUCACUAAGGGAUCUACAGAGCAGUGAGCGAGUUUCCUGGAGAGGCCAGUGAGGGGACAGUCACUCUCCUGGUCACAAGAGAAAGGAGAUACCUAGUCCCCGUUCUAAUCGUCACCGCUCCUCCAGGUC
rnacentral:lncRNA from 1 species